UACGUAGGGUGCGAGCGUUGUCCGGAAUUAUUGGGCGUAAAGAGCUCGUAGGCGGCCUGUCGCGUCGGUUGUGAAAGCCCGGGGCUUAACCGGGGAACUGCAUCUGAUACUGGAUGGCUUGAGUUCGGGAGAGGGAUGCGGAAUUCCAGGUGUAGCGGUGAAAUGCGUAGAUAUCUGGAGGAACACCGGUGGCGAAGGCGGCAUCCUGGACCGACACUGACGCUGAGGAGCGAAAGCCAGGGGAGCAAACGGG
rnacentral:rRNA from 1 species